UUUUUUUUUUUUUUUUUUUUUGCAUUUCCUUCUGUCAUCCAUUGCAAAGACGUACCAGCUUCAGGGUAGUAUGGAAAGAUCCCUGGUCUCGCAGUCAGAAGACCCGAGUUCAAGAUGUGGGAUCUCUGAACAUGGCCCUUCAGUUCUUUCUUCCGAGAGCUGUGCUGAUGGCCAAGUAAGAUGAGGGCUAUGAAAAGCCUCUGUAGACUGCAAAAUGAGCAUGGGAGAGGCUGUCAUUAUUCUGGAAUUGGGAGACAGAUUUACAGAGGGCCUGAACACAGGAUUGAAGGUGGUGAAUUUCCAUUCGGCUGCCUGGGCGUCUGCAUGUAUAAAAAGCAAACCUAAGUGGUUUUUUUCUCCUCCAAGUGAAGAUGAAAGUGUUAAAAAUAGCAAGGAGGUGAAAGUGUUCAAAAUAGCAAAGUGGCCUGUCUCCUCUUCUCCUAAGCAGACUGUCCAAACAGACGCCCAGUAGAAGGAGCACCUUUUGAUACUGGGCACGUGGUGGUGAUGCCUCCUCUCUCCUAGCACAGGCCGUGGCUUUGUCAUCUCCAGCCCUAACUGGGAGCACCGAGGGUUCCAACCAGGCAAAUGCAGGCCCUAACGGGCUCUUUGAAAACGGGCUUUUCUAGAACCAGGAACCUCAAGUAAAAACUCCCCCAGCUACCUCUAAGGCCCAUCACACUCCUGUCUCACGCCCACCUAUGAGAAAGGAAAAGGUGAUGGUCAUUGAGCUGGGCUGCAGAGGAGUGUGAGGUGCAGACACCAUGAGGUACCCACAGCCAGGAAAACGAGGAUGGUCGGGGAGACGCGCCAGCGAAGAGCUGGGCCCCUGCGUGGGACCCCUCAGUGGUUCCCAGGGGGCGUGGGACUUGCGCAGUCCUUUCAGAGGGCUGUUUACCAACAGGAACCGUAACAUUAAACCUGCUCAGACCCCUUGACUCAGCAAUUUCAUGUCUGGGAAUAUAUCUUAGGAAAAUAAUCAGAGAUGCCUACCAACAUAUGUGAUGAUGAUGUAUGACAGAAUUAUUAUACAAAUAUAUCCAUAGUAACAGGGGGUUUGCUGAAAUAAAUUAUCAUAUAUUCAUAUAAUAUGACAUUAUCAGGCCAUUAAAAAUCACAGUUUCAAAGAGUAAUAAAAUGGGAACAUGCUCAUAGUAUAGUUUUUUAAAAUUGCAGAUGGUAUAUGGCUAAAAAUGUCUAAUAAUGCAAAGAUGUAUACAGACCUUAAUCCUCUAGCCUCCUCCCUAGAGAUGACCUCUGUUAAUUUCUCAAAUAUUUUUCUGGAUAUUUUACACACUCACACACUUUUUUUGAGACAGAGUUUCACUCUUGUCACCCAGGCUGGAGUGCAAUGGUGUGAUCUUGGCUCACUGCAACCUCCACCUCCCGGGUUCAAGAGAUUCUCCUGCCUCAGCCUCCCGAGUAGCUGGGAUUACAGGUGCCUGCCACCUUGCCUGGCUAAUUUUUUGUAUUUUUAGUAGAGACGGGGUUUCACCACAUUGGUCAGGCUGGUCUCAAACUCCUGACCUCAGGUGAUCCGCCUGCCUUGGCCUCCCAAAGUGCUGGGAUUACAGGCGUGAGCCACUGCGCCCGGCCAUUCAUCUUAAUUUUUAAAAAAUCUAACCAUGAAGCCUUGGUUAUCUUGGAGAGCUUUCCUGAUUAGCACAAAAAGAAAAAAAAAUCCAAUUCUUUACAGCUGCAUACUAUUCCAUUAUUUGUAUGUGUCAUAUUUUAUUUAACCAUCCUGCUAUUAGUGACCAUUGAGUUGGCUUCCUGUGUUUUGCCGUUACAUGGUUGCAACAAACAUGUUUGCAUGUGUCUGCCCUCAUGUGCAUGAUACAUGAUUGAUUUGAUAGAUUUUAGGAAUUACAUCAUUCAUUCAUACACUCAGCAAAUAUUUAAUGAGUGCCUACUCUCUGAUAGGUGCUGUUGGAUGUGGCUAAAUUUUAAAGUGUAGAAUUUAAAAGGUGGCUACCAAAUUCCAUGUGCAAAAUGACCCCACGCAUGUAUAAAAACACACACAUCCACAGAUUUAUAUGCGGGAGAGAAGAUGUGGUCCCUGGCCUCUAGGCUCUCUCAGUCUGUGGCAAGACAGACAGACAUGUGCACGCGGCACUGUAAGGUUGAGCACAGUCUAAGUACUCAGCAUGGUCUCUGGCACAUAGUAGGUGCCCAAGAAAUACAUGUCGAAUGAAUUGAGGGGGUAAGGCCUUCUAGGGCAGGUGGCCUCUGACCUCAGCCUUCAGUGUUCCGUAGGUGGAAUUAUCUGCCAGAGACGUGGCAAAAGGGAGAGGAACCAAGACUGAGGCACAGAGGUUCAAACGUACCCGGCACAUUCAGAGAAUCCUUUUCAGAAUCACGUCCCCAAGAGCUUCUGUGUUCUGUACGGUGAUGUUGCAGUGCUGUUUUUCCGCAGUCUCGCUCCAUCGGCCUCAAUCCGCUGUACAUCAUGCUGCCCUGUACCCUGAGUGCCUCCUUUGCCUUCAUGUUGCCUGUGGCCACCCCUCCAAAUGCCAUCGUGUUCACCUAUGGGCACCUCAAGGUUGCUGACAUGGUAACACAGCUGUUUUUAUUUACUCCCGUCGGACUAUAACGCUGUUGUCAUAAGGGAUGCCCCAUUUAUGAAUGACAGAGUUUCAAAACGAUGUCAUGUGACUUGGGAAUGCCACGGAACAUCCAGACCUGUAGCCAUUGUUGACAUUUAUAAUGCAGCUUUUCUUCUUUUUCUGAGAUGAUCUCAAGCCUCACACACUGUUCUUUCUCUGAGGUGGGUUAUAGACUCUCCCACCUGGAGAAGCCUGUGCAGGCACCAGGGGAGUCCUUGGAAGGGGUGAAGGUGGGGCUGAGGGACUCAUAUGGCCAAGGAUGAACUUGACAAAUUAGCAAGAACCAUGAAGAUAGGCAGGGCAGGCUUAGGCAGCAGGGGGAUGCUAAUGACAGUCACAGAGAUUUGUAGGGGUGCCUGAAGAGGUAGAAGCAGGGAGAGGGAGAGAGAGAGCACUGCCUGGGAGUAGAUGAUGCCUUGGAAACAAAUGUAGUCAGAGGAAGAACUCUUCAUUAGCUCUGUCACCUUUGCUGGGAGAAGGGCAGCUUUGCAGCUCUGGGCUGGGAAAGAGGCAAGUGUUUGAGCCCAAGAGGCCAGAAAUGUACCUGGGACCAAUCGGGUGUUCGUUAUCUCAGAGCCUCUGCUGGGUAUCUCAGGGACUCCAUGAGCAUUUUCAAAAAAAAAGGUGGGUCCCAGAAACCAUGGACUGCAAACUUGACUCCAAUCCCCAGUAAAAUAUCUACAACAGGGUAGUGAAGCGAUGGUUAGUGACCAUGAGGGAAGCUUGCAGAGCAGGCAUCAGAAAGAGCCUGAGGAGGUCCACAGGGAAGCUGGCACGUCCUUGUAGGAUAGUUAAGGCACUGGGGUGAGCAAUGAACCUGGACUCACGGAACACUGGGCUCUGUGACCGUUUCCCUGAAUGGCCUAAGCUGUUGCCUCCUGUCACUUCUCUGAGGUCAUUUUCCAAAUGCGCACGGGCAUAGAGAACCCAUCCACUCUGCCUACUUCCCAGGGAUGCCUUGAGCACUGAGGAUACCUGGGGGACAUGAAGUCGCACUGUCCUGGGGGUCGGGACACCCCAGCCAGGGACAGAGCAUGGCACAGGGACAUCGAGGCCCAGUGAGCCGACCCUUUGUCCUCCUCUCUGAGAGCACUAGUCCCCAGCAGGCCUCAGGGUGCUGACUCUGUCUCUUUUCCAGGUGAAAACAGGAGUCAUAAUGAACAUAAUUGGAGUCUUCUGUGUGUUUUUGGCUGUCAACACCUGGGGACGGGCCAUAUUUGACUUGGAUCAUUUCCCUGACUGGGCUAAUGUGACACAUAUUGAGACUUAGGAAGAGCCACAAGACCACACACACAGCCCUUACCCUCCUCAGGACUACCGAACCUUCUGGCACACCUUGUACAGAGUUUUGGGGUUCACACCCCAAAAUGACCCAACGAUGUCCACACACCACCAAAACCCAGCCAAUGGGCCACCUCUUCCUCCAAGCCCAGAUGCAGAGAUGGUCAUGGGCAGCUGGAGGGUAGGCUCAGAAAUGAAGGGAACCCCUCAGUGGGCUGCUGGACCCAUCUUUCCCAAGCCUUGCCAUUAUCUCUGUGAGGGAGGCCAGGUAGCCGAGGGAUCAGGAUGCAGGCUGCUGUACCCGCUCUGCCUCAAGCAUCCCCCACACAGGGCUCUGGUUUUCACUCGCUUCGUCCUAGAUAGUUUAAAUGGGAAUCGGAUCCCCUGGUUGAGAGCUAAGACAACCACCUACCAGUGCCCAUGUCCCUUCCAGCUCACCUUGAGCAGCCUCAGAUCAUCUCUGUCACUCUGGAAGGGACACCCCAGCCAGGGACGGAAUGCCUGGUCUUGAGCAACCUCCCACUGCUGGAGUGCGAGUGGGAAUCAGAGCCUCCUGAAGCCUCUGGGAACUCCUCCUGUGGCCACCACCAAAGGAUGAGGAAUCUGAGUUGCCAACUUCAGGACGACACCUGGCUUGCCACCCACAGUGCACCACAGGCCAACCUACGCCCUUCAUCACUUGGUUCUGUUUUAAUCGACUGGCCCCCUGUCCCACCUCUCCAGUGAGCCUCCUUCAACUCCUUGGUCCCCUGUUGUCUGGGUCAACAUUUGCCGAGACGCCUUGGCUGGCACCCUCUGGGGUCCCCCUUUUCUCCCAGGCAGGUCAUCUUUUCUGGGAGAUGCUUCCCCUGCCAUCCCCAAAUAGCUAGGAUCACACUCCAAGUAUGGGCAGUGAUGGCGCUCUGGGGGCCACAGUGGGCUAUCUAGGCCCUCCCUCACCUGAGGCCCAGAGUGGACACAGCUGUUAAUUUCCACUGGCUAUGCCACUUCAGAGUCUUUCAUGCCAGCGUUUGAGCUCCUCUGGGUAAAAUCUUCCCUUUGUUGACUGGCCUUCACAGCCAUGGCUGGUGACAACAGAGGAUCGUUGAGAUUGAGCAGCGCUUGGUGAUCUCUCAGCAAACAACCCCUGCCCGUGGGCCAAUCUACUUGAAGUUACUCGGACAAAGACCCCAAAGUGGGGCAACAACUCCAGAGAGGCUGUGGGAAUCUUCAGAACCCCCCUGUAAGAGACAGACAUGAGAGACAAGCAUCUUCUUUCCCCCGCAAGUCCAUUUUAUUUCCUUCUUGUGCUGCUCUGGAAGAGAGGCAGUAGCAAAGAGAUGAGCUCCUGGAUGGCAUUUUCCAGGGCAGGAGAAAGUAUGAGAGCCUCAGGAAACCCCAUCAAGGACCGAGUAUGUGUCUGGUUCCUUGGGUGGGACGAUUCCUGACCACACUGUCCAGCUCUUGCUCUCAUUAAAUGCUCUGUCUCCCGCG
rnacentral:lncRNA from 1 species